GUGACAGCCGCCGCGGUAAUACGUAGGUGGCAAGCGUUGUCUGGAAUUAUUGGGCGUAAAGCGCGCGCAGGCGGUUCUUUAAGUCUGAUGUGAAAGCCCACGGCUCAACCGUGGAGGGUCAUUGGAAACUGGAGAACUUGAGUACAGAAGAGGAAAGCGGAAUUCCACGUGUAGCGGUGAAAUGCGUAGAGAUGUGGAGGAACACCAGUGGCGAAGGCGGCUUUCUGGUCUGUAACUGACGCUGAGGCGCGAAAGCGUGGGGAGCAAACAGGAUUAGAAACCCGCGUAGUCC
rnacentral:rRNA from 1 species